AUAUAUAAAAUUACACACACAGAUACGUGAUAUGUAAAGUGUUGGAAUAAAU
rnacentral:guide_RNA from 1 species